UCAUCCAACUUGGGGCCCUCCCAGCCUCCUCCCCACCCAGCCACAUGGGAAAAUCCCCAGUUAGCCCUUCCAGUCAUGUGAAUGAGGCCACGAUUCAAAGGCAGUGGGCAAGAAGGAGGCCACAUGGAGCCGCCAGAAAGAACCAGCCCUUUGUGCUAGACUGGGGUCCUUGGGGGAUCAGUGCAUUUUUGGCGUAUUUAGAAAGAUUUCUUUUUUAUAAUGAGCAGCAGAGGAGGAAAGGGGAGGGAGAGACAGAGAGGCAGGAGUUGGGAAAAGAGAAGGAGGAGGAGUGGUGAGGGCUGGAGACAGGGUUGUAAGAGCAAGAGGAGAAAUGCAAAGGGACCCAAAGGGCGAGAGAUGGGGGGAGAGAGGGAAAGGAAGGGGAAUUCUUGGGACGGACGAAGGAUGAUGUCGCCCGGAUAGAGCUUGCUCAUUUGUUUGCAGGGAGAGGAGCAGGUGGAUGAAAUGUAGGUGUUGAGAAAGGAUUUGACUUCCAUUUUACACAGGGGGAAACAAGACUCAAAGGGAUGCCAGGCGAUCUGGCCAAUGCCGGAUGAGCUCACGUACACAGUGGGCGACGUGCGGAGCUCUUCGAAUGCCGGCCUCAUUUAAUCCUCACCAUAACCAGAUGGGCCCGGGUCCAUCAUCAUCCCCAAUUCACAGGUGAAGACCCGGAGAUCUUGAGAAAUUAGGCAACUUUCUAAUACUUAACGUGACAUCCGCCAGCUAAGAAGUCGUGCACUAGUGCAGACCCACACAGCUCAUGUCGCUCAUCACAGUGCCAGGUGGGGCACAGUGCGACCCAGGGGAGACAGAGAAAUCACAAAAGCAGAAACAGGUGAGCAACUCUUGGCACUAAGACAAUACGUGUAUUCUCGCUGUACACCAAACCUGGGUCCUUCCUUCAAGGUCCCUUUAGAAGGUCCCACACAGCCUUUGAUAGAACACACCACCGCCUCUUGCCUGUGAGCCUUUCCCCCACCAUCUGACUCCCUUUGAGCAUACACAGUCGCUGUUUCUCUUUCUUUAAAUACUCUGUGCCCUUAAGGGUCUAGGAAACACUCUCCUCCUGAGUUCUUUGUAGAACAGACGUGAGCAAAGGUGGGAUGCCCUCCCUCCCCUUGACUGCAGCCUGCUUUUCACUUGGCAUGCUGCUGCCAGUCCUUUUUACACAUUUGUUUCUCCCAGGGGCUGCCCUUACUGGCCUCUGAAAGCCUGACACCUGGCCCUGCGCCGGACACAGCUGAAUGAGGGUCCAGGCAUUCCUUAAAUACUCAGGUUCAUGUAUUCGCAAACACUUUUAGAGCAUCAACUUGGAGCUCAUUCCAGGAGCCGGGAACAAGAGCCACACCUUGCUGGGGAGAAGGAGCAGUGAGCCCCUGAGGCCCCACCUGGUGACAGAUGAUGGCAGGGUCCCGGGGGGUGAGGAGCCUGGAGAGGUGGCAGGUGAUCCAAGGGCCUCCUGGAGGAGGUGGGGACGGACAGAGUCUUGGAGAAAGAGUGAUCCUCAACUCCAUUAAAUUCUGGAAGAUUCUGGUUUGCUCUUCCCCUUUCUCCAUUGUUACCACUCAUUAAAAAAGAUAACAAUAGUUCAUUUGUUAAUUCAUUUGAAAACUGCUUCUUGCCUGCCCACUGUGUGUCAGGUGCUGUGGCAGGUUGGGAAUCAGCCGUGACUAAGACCUAGUCCUGCCAUCCUGAAGCCCCCAGACAAGUCAAAGAGGUGACAAGCAGUGACCCCACAGAGACCACUGUGGAGUCUGGGCCAGGGCAGCCCCCCUCACCUGACCCUCCCUCCUGCUGCCAUUUUACAGAGGCUGGCGGCUGGCCCAAGGUCAUGGGGCAAGUAAAUAGGGGACCUGCCACCCCUCUUCAGUUCUCAGACCCCUCCUUAUUCUCAGCUCUUACCAGCCUGGUCCCUGCAGGAGGGAGGGGCUGAAGGUGAGCUUGCUGCCUGGGAGUGACCUUGUGGCGUUGGGCUGCUGGGUCUCCCCUGAGAAAGUGUGAACAGUGGACCUUUCCUCCCAGGCUACCUGUGGAAGGCUGCUGCUCGGUCCUCAUGCUUCUCUCCCUUCCCCAUAGGUGGGGCCAUGGAGGGGGGUACUGUGCCCCCUGCGUGCCUAGGCUAAGCCAGCACACCGAAUGGGAACCCCUGUCCCUCAGGAGGGAGAAAUUGAGGUCCACCAGGUGCAGGGAACCCCAGCAGCCCGGUCUGGGGAGCUCGGUCUCAAGGAGGGCACCUGAAGACCAGCAGGAGCAGCCUUGCUUGGAUGACUUCUCGGUUCUAAUCCAUUGGCAGAGGCCAUCGUGGGAAUCUUUCCUUGGCAGCUGUCACCUCUCCACGCUGACCUUCCAGAAGACUUCACUCCCUUGUUCAACUGUUUUUUUUUUCCUUCACCCUUUACUUUAUGACCAGUAAAGAGACACUAGUCGAGCAAUUCCUUGAAGGCAAAGCUAGUAUUGGUGCUUCCCUCAGAGCCCUGGUAAUACAAAGUGCAGUGCAGUCCUGUGAAGCUCCUAUGAGAGCCUCAUGUUUAAAGGAAUGAGUAAUGGGGGGCUGGCUGCCCUCUGGGGGAAGGAUGUGGGGAGCCAGAGGCUUCGGAUCUGCUCUCUCCUCGGGUGGGCUGUGAGACCUUGGGAAACCUCCCACCUCUUUGGUCCUCAGUUUCUUCAAGUGUAACAGAGGGAUGCUCAUCCCUGAGUCGUCGCUCUCCCAGACAAGUUAAGAGGAGAGUCAUGAAGCUAUAAAUGCGUGGUAGCAUCUGCCCCACAGCAUCAAGGCCAACACACCUCCCUCCCCUCCCGGCUUGGGGCCCUUUGGUGGUGAGUCGAGGUUGAUGCCAGGCCUGCAUCCUGCACACGCUCUCUGGGAACAUCCCCCAAGACGCCGUCCUGAAAGGAGGGUUCAGUGUCUCUGGGUUACAGAGGCAAAAUCCAGCCAGGAGGGAGGAAGUGACUCAGCAUGGGGGCCGGGGAAGGCCCCGGGCCAGGCCUCCCACUCCCAGGACAGCUUGCCCUGUGCUUUGUACUCAACCCAGCGCCUUUCAUCCCAGCAUCUCAAAGCCCCUUUCAAGCUGAAGCAGCUCUUGGAGUUGGGUCAUUAUCUCAAUUAACAGGAGAAAGCUGGGGCCCAAGCCUGGUGGAGGCAACUU
rnacentral:lncRNA from 1 species